CGUAACAGGUCUUCGGAUGCUGACGAGUGGCGAACGGGUGAGUAAUACAUCGGAACGUGCCUAGUAGUGGGGGAUAACUACUCGAAAGAGUAGCUAAUACCGCAUGAGAUCUACGGAUGAAAGCAGGGGACCUUCGGGCCUUGUGCUACUAGAGCGGCUGAUGGCAGAUUAGGUAGUUGGUGGGGUAAAGGCUUACCAAGCCUGCGAUCUGUAGCUGGUCUGAGAGGACGACCAGCCACACUGGGACUGAGACACGGCCCAGACUCCUACGGGAGGCAGCAGUGGGGAAUUUUGGACAAUGGGGGAAAGCCUGAUCCAGCAAUGCCGCGUGCAGGAUGAAGGCCCUCGGGUUGUAAACUGCUUUUGUCCGGAACGAAAAGCCUGGGGCUAAUAUCCCCGGGUCAUGACGGUACCGUAAGAAUAAGCACCGGCUAACUACGUGCCAGCAGCCGCGGUAAUACGUAGGGUGCAAGCGUUAAUCGGAAUUACUGGGCGUAAAGCGUGCGCAGGCGGUUUUGUAAGACAGUGGUGAAAUCCCCGGGCUCAACCUGGGAACUGCCAUUGUGACUGCAAGGCUAGAGUGCGGCAGAGGGGGAUGGAAUUCCGCGUGUAGCAGUGAAAUGCGUAGAUAUGCGGAGGAACACCGAUGGCGAAGGCAAUCCCCUGGGCCUGCACUGACGC
rnacentral:rRNA from 1 species